GAUGAAGAACGCAGCGAAAUGCGAUACGUAAUGUGAAUUGCAAAUUCAGUGAAUCAUCGAAUCUUUGAACGCACAUUGCGCCUCCUGGUAGUCCGGGAGGCAUGCCUGUUCGAGCGUCACCAAAUCCAACUCAAGCGGUUUUGCGCUUGGUCGUGGCGGAAGAGUCGGUCUGGUUGCCGUCUCCCCUCCGAAAAUCAACGGCGGAAAGUCACUGGCAGUCAGCGUAGUAGUAUCGUUCGCCGAACAUCCAGUGGCAUUCCUGCCGACGUACCCCCACAAUUCUCGUGAUUGACCUCGGAUCAGGUAGGGAUACCCGCUGAACUUAAGCAUAUCAAUAAGCGGAGGA
rnacentral:misc_RNA from 1 species